GGAGUUAGCCGGUGCUUCUUCUGUGAGUGAUGUCCUUCCUGCCGGUUAUUGACCCGCAGGCCUUCUUCCUCACUGAAAGUGCUUUACAACCCGAAGGCCUUCUUCACACACGCGGCAUGGCUGGAUCAGGGUUGCCCCCAUUGUCCAAUAUUCCCCACUGCUGCCUCCCGUAGGAGUCUGGGCCGUGUCUCAGUCCCAGUGUGGCUGAUCAUCCUCUCAGACCAGCUACGGAUCGUCGCCUUGGUGAGCCGUUACCUCACCAACCAGCUAAUCCGACAUAGGCUCAUCCGAUAGCGCGAGGCCCGAAGGUCCCCCGCUUUCCCCCGUAGGGCGUAUGCGGUAUUAUCCUGGGUUUCCCCAGGUUAUCCCCCACUACCGGGCAGAUUCCUAUGCAUUACUCACCCGUCCGCCGCUCGCCACCAGGGAGCAAGCUCCCCGUGCUGCCGCUCGACUUGCAUGUGUUAGGCCUGCCGCCAGCGUUCAAUCUGAGCCAGGAUCAAACUCUGA
rnacentral:rRNA from 1 species